GGAAUCUUCCACAAUGGGCGAAAGUCUGAUGGAGCAACGCCGCGUGAGUGAAGAAGGGUUUCGGCUCGUAAAACUCUGUUGUUAAAGAAGAACAUAUCUGAGAGUAACUGUUCAGGUAUUGACGGUAUUUAACCAGAAAGCCACGGCUAACUACGUGCCAG
rnacentral:rRNA from 1 species